rnacentral:tRNA from 1 species
GGCCUUCUACAGAGCUAGUGGUCUGGCUCCGUGGGCUUCAAACCCAUGAUCGUGCAAGCGAUAAGAGUUCGAUUCUCUUAGAAGGCCGCCA